AGAAGACCAGGGACAAGGAGGAGGGCAGGCAGGAGCGGCGGCGGCGGCCCAGGGGCACCACCGAGAGGACCGCGGCCGACGAGCUGGAAGCCUUCCUGGGGGGUGCGGCCCCGAGCGGCCANNNNNNNNNNNNNNNNNNNNNNNNNNNNNNNNNNNNNNNNNNNCACCUCCGCCGACGGCGGCCCGGCGCGGGGAUGGCCGCGGGCCUGCUCCACACUCGCUGGGGAGGCUGGGCCCGCCCUGCACCGAGCCGGCCAGCGGGCAGCGGGCAGCGGGCUGGGCCGUGCGGGGAGCCGGCCCCCAGCGCUUNAGGAGGCCGCAAGGCUGUUUACAGGGCGGGGCGCGUCCUCGUCACCGGCCGGCCCCUGCUUGCCCCUGGCCCGCCGCGCUCGCUCUCCCGGGCCCCCCACGCGCGGGCGGGCUCCGCUUCCUGCCCCUUUCGGCAUGGGGGGCAGACGCCAGGCGGCACUGGCGCCUUUUCCCGGGCCCAGGGUCCAGCUUUGCACCUGCGCUCGGGCUCGCUGCCGGCCAGGCCGGGAGGUCGUCAGACACUGUUUCUCUCGUGUUCCUCCACCACUCCACUCUGACCAUAAAGCUCUCCUGUUUUACUGCGUCUGUGUGUGCUUCUCCCUGUGAGCCGCCCCGCCUGUCCCGGGUGGCCCUGGGUUGGUGGGCAGGUCCUCAGUUCCCUGCCCUUCUCCCGGAGAGGCAGCUGCCCCCCCCCCCCGCCCCCAACCCACCGGAGGCCUUCUGGCACCACGUGGCCCAGGGAGCUGACCUGCAGGAGACUUCCCGGCAGGCCCGGCCCCACGUGUGCCCCGUCUUGUGCAGGCUGGCCAAUACAGCCAUUGUCCUUCACGCCGGUCCCAGCCCCCCCAGGCCAGGGCUGGGCGGCUGCACCCAGGAACACCCGAGGGCCUCUGGCCUGCCGAGGGCAAGCAUGCAUCUGCUCUGCCGGCCUCUGGAAGGCGCUGUCCUGUCCCAGCCACCGUUCUGCCUCUAGCCCUGCUGCUCUCUGCAUACCCCGGCCCCUCUAGCUGCCAGCAGCGCCCACCCCCCACCCCAUGGUUGCCAUGAGAACCAGGCACACAUCGGGAGGCGGGGGUGGUAGCCAGGCCAUCCCCCUUUCGGUCUGGAAAGCCUCCCCUUCCCCAGUUCCUGUGCCUAGACUAGUUGGUUUCUCACCCUGGAGGCUGCGGGCAGGGGCUGGGGACCAGGCACCAAGCUGACGUGGUGGGGACUUCCUUCAGCCCACAGCCUACAAGAUCUCCUGUCCUCGUGGAGCCCGGUAAAUGUGCGGAUUGGGCCGACACGAAACGAACUUGCCCAGGGCCCUGGAUCUAAUGGACCUACGCGGGGCAGGUGUUGGCCUUUGGAGCCAAGGGCAUCCAUGACUCAACCCUCCGCAGUUAGACGGUUCCCCAGCUCAGCAUCUGGUUUGGGAGGGGCUGGUGGGACUGGAGAAUGGAGAUCACCAUGUGGUUUGUAAGUGGCCCACGUGCAAACCUGCCCAGGGCAGUGACUGUCCUCCACGCACCUCGACUCUGAUCCCAGGGAGCCUAGGAGCAUGCCCUUGCCCUGUAGAGCCCCGGCAGCCUGGGGACAGGAGGGCUGCAGGCCCCGCUCAGCCGUGCCCAUCUGGCCCCAGGAACCUUCAGAGCUUGGCACCUCCAGCCUGGCAGAGCGGAGCAGGGCCCAGCGGGGCUGGGAGCAGCCCAUCUGCUCCUGCGAGGCCUCAGCGGAGGUGUGAAUUCCGGAGCUUGGGGCUCCUCCAGGGUCCUGCUCUGAGGCCACCGCCAAGCCACCAGCUGCCCCCGGGGUGGGGGCUGGCGGGACCGGCAGGCUGCUCCCUGGGUGGGGGUACCCCGGUUGGAGCCCAGGCCCGCACCCUGAGAACGAGGGAGCGCUUGUCAGCUGGCGCUCGGCACAGCCCAACCAACUGCCAGCAGGCCACACGGGUCCCAGGCCCACCGCACGGCCCCUUUAAAUGCGGCCCCGCCGGCCGCCGCCAGGGGCAGCACUGAGCAGCCGGCGGCCUCCGCGCCGCUGCCUCGAAGCUUCUGCCGGUGCCGGGGACGCCGCGGAGCGGAGAAGGCGGAGCGGGCGCAGGCCUGCGCAGCCCACCGGGCGCGCGCGGCGGGGAAGCAGCGCCCAGGUAAGGGAUGGGGGGCCGCUGCCCCACGGGCCCUGUCAUGGGGGGAGGGGGGGCACCCGCAAGGAUGGGGUCCUACUUCAGAGCUACACCGGCGGGUCCUCACUCCGGGCGCUCGGGGCGGGGGCAGGGCUGGGCCGCGGGGAGACCCGCGGGAGGGGCGCGUUAGGCCUGGGGCCCCUGCAAGGGCCGACCGCCCCCGUGCCCACGGGGAGGGAUGUCACCCAGCCCAGCUCCAUCCUUACCGCUGCAGAGGCGAAGCGGAGCUGUCACCUCCCUGGGGCGGAGCUUCAUGCCCUGUCAUCGGACCCCCAAUUCCAGCCUGGCUUUGAGCUUAGGAUGGAAGGGAGUGGGAAGGGGACAGUCCUAUGAGCAGGGACAGAAUUGGGGUGGGCGCAAGGCUGCGAUGGGACGGGCCGCUGGGACUUCAUGGCCCUGACCCAGAAGGGCAGCCCUGCCGGCAGAAAGCCCCUGGCACACCUGGGACACAGGGUCGGCCUGACCAGAGACCCUGGCAGGUGAGCCCCCCCCCCCCCCCCCCCCCCCCCCCCCCCGCCCCCCCCCCCCCCCCCCGNGAGGUGGGGGCCCUGUCAGCACCGUCUGAGACCCUACACAACCUGUCCAGACUCCGGGUACCACAGAGGGGCUGGUGGCCCAAGUCUCAGCAUGAGCCCAGUGCAGAGGGGUGGACCCCCGCCCAGCCCCCAUCGCGGGGGCAGCAGAACCUCAGGUUGCCAUGGAGCCUUCCUGAGCUGCUGUGGAGAGGGCUCUCUCCUGAGGAGAAGCAGUGAGUGAGGGGGGGGGGGGGGGGCUUUACCCGCCCACCACCCUGCCUCCCCUGCUUGCGGCCUCCUGGCCCCAUGCUGCUCUGGGGAAGAGGGGUCGCCCUGAGCUGGUGGCUCCCGCCCCCACAUGGUCCUGCGGCCGGCACGGGUUUCUGAGCUGCAGAGCACAGGCCGCAAAGCUGGGGAGGCUGCUCCCCGGGCCUUGUCACGACGGCCCCAACAAGCUUAAUGGGUUCCAACCACCCUAAGACACCAGGGAUCAAAAGAGGUUUCUGCAAGGGAAAGGGGGCUCUAGGGCCAAGGGAUGUUCUUUGUGGCGUGUGCUGGCCUGGGCCACACAGAAGGGCGAGGGUGGGGCAGGCCAGUCCGUCAGCCUAGGGGCGGUGCCUGGACCUGAUGGGGCCAUCUCCAUGUCUCCUGGGGCCUCAGGGCUGGGGCUUGGUUCCGGGGACUGUUCCCAGGGCAGCCACCACUGCCGUACUGGGGGAGGGUCUCCAUGUCCCACCCGGGCGGCAGGUGGCCAGGGAGACUCAGCAACUUUGUCACGGUCCAGGGACUCCCCCUCAGACCACACCAUCGGAGGGCUUGUUCUGCACUGGGCGUGAGGACGGGGCUUAAGUCACCCGUGAGUGUUGUGAGGCAAACACCCAUAAAGAAAUUUGUAAAUAAGGUUUCGCAGGAGCCUACCGUCAUCCCAGCUGGGAACACACCCCCGUUCUUCCUGCCCCAGGACACGGCUUCUACCCAGACCUGCCGAUGGUAGUGGGGGGAGGGGGAGGCCCCCCGGGGCACGGGCCUGGCCGCAGGAGCUCGGGAACCACAGCGACGGCCAUUGCCUUUCUGCCUGAUUGGCUACAUCCCAGCAGAAAGUGGCCCAGAAAGGGUGGCCCGGGGCAGGGGACAGACCCUGAGUGGCUGGACGGCUGGGUUCCUCCCGCAGGUGCUUCUGACGCCGGCAUGGAGCAAGUGCCUGGGGCCUCGGCCACCGCGGGCAGCCAGGACUGCUCCGCCCACUGGGUCCCAGGUAAGUCAGGCCAGCGUAGGGGUGUAGCCAGCUCUGGGUUGCAGAGGGGUCACCCUGACCCGCAUCUCCCACCAGGGCAAAAGCCCGGAAAGGCAGAGUGAGCUGCGACCGCCAGCCUGGGGACCUCUUUUAAAAUGACCCGCACGGACCCGCCGGACCUGUUGGUGUCGACCGUGUACCAGGACAUCAAGGUGGCGGCCCCCGGGCCCGCGUCGCGGCGCCCGCCAUGUGAGCGCCCCGUGCCCCCGCCAGCUGCGCCCGCGCCUUUCAACAAGCGCCACUGUCGCAGCUUCGACUUCCUGGAGGCGCUGGACGGGGAGGCCAUGGAGGCCCGCCCCGAGCCGCCGCCCCCGGAGCCGGCCGUGCCGCGCGCCCGACCCCGCGAUGGCGAGCCCCGGCGCCGCGCCCGCUCCAAGAGCGCGCCCCGCGCGACCCCGGGCCUGGCGCCCGCGCCCGCCCCGCCGCCGGNCCCCCGC
rnacentral:lncRNA from 1 species